ACGGAAGGCAGCAGUGGGGAAUAUUGGGCAAUGGGCGCAAGCCUGACCUAGCAAUGCCGCGUGAAGGAUGAAGGUCUUCGGAUUGUAAACUUCUUUGAUUGGGGAAGAAUAAAUGACCUACCCAAAGGACAAGCUCCGGCUAACUACGUGCCAGCAGCCGCGGUAAUACGUAGGGAGCAAGCGUUAUCCGGAUUUACUGGGUGUAAAGGGCGUGUAGGCGGCUCUGCAAGUCAGAAGUGAAAUCCCCGAGCUUAACUUGGGUGCUGCUUCUGAAGCUGUAGAACUUGAGUACUGGAGGGGAAAGCGGAAUUCCUAGUGUAGCGGUAAAAUGCGCAGAUAUUAGGAGGAACACCGGUGGCGAAGGCGGCUUUCUGGACAGUUACUGACGCUGAGGCGCGAAAGCGUGGGGAGCAAACAGGAUUAGAUACCCUGGUA
rnacentral:rRNA from 1 species